UGAGAUUUGGAGGAAAAUUAAAUUUCAUCUAGCAGACACUAAAAAUACUUUUAGGUGUGUUUGUAGUCGGAAGCUGUGUAUUGUUAUCAGGGUUAAGGAAAUAAAUGAUCAACAGUACUUGUGCAAGGUCCUAUGCCAAACACUGUGUAAGAGAAUGGAAAUAGAUCAACUCCAUUUCUCUCUGAUGUGAGCUUUUGAAGGGGUAGUUAACCAAAAAAUAUGCAAAUUGCCUGUAGUUCUCAAAAAUAAAACUUCCUGCUUUUGUAAUGGAAAAAAAGCAUGAGUGGUGAGAUUGUGUGUGGUAUUUUCAACCUCACCUUUUCAAUAUAACUAAUACCGUGUAUGAUUUAUGCCAAUGUGAAUCUUUAGGAAUCAUUUCAAAGUUUGUCCUCUCCUUUCCCUUCCUUCCUUCCUUGAACCCAGGGCCUUUGUACUGAGCUACUUCCUAAGGCCCUUUUACAUUUUUAAAAUUUGGAGACAGGGUCUCCCUCAGGGAUCGAAAGUGUGUACCGCCAAGGCCGGGUUUUGUUUGAGACGGGGUCUUGCUGUGUAUCCCAGGCUGGCCACAACUCAGGAUCUUCCUAUUUCAGCUUCAGCUUCGGGAAGGCUGGCGUUGCAGGCUUGAUUUACCAUGCCUUCACUAUUUCAAAUCUAAGUGUUACAUUUGAAACUAAGAAUGCACAAUUUACUUGGCCUUGCCCUGUGUAACAUUGAGGCAGUCUGAGAUGUAACAGUCUUCAGGCCGCUGACCUGGUCCCCCGGUUUCCUGGUCUGGCCCGCAGGUGCUGCCCGGGCACAGUCCGGAAGUUGGGAGUCGGCAGUGGCUACGGCGGGCCAGCGCUGGCAGGCUCCAGCGGAGGACAAAGCCACAGCGGUUCCGGAAGCUACUCAGGUGACUCCAGUGGGCUGCGGCCUGCCUUGGCGCCCCUGAGGGACGGAGGAGUCCCAGCAGGCGUGAAAUUCACAUUCAGAGCAUCUGUCACAUCCAAGCCUGAGCCAAUUUCUCUUCAAAAGCUGCACAGCUGGAGAGUAAAGGAGGAGAGGUCCAGUACGAAACAGAGCAGCGAGUACCUUGAGAAGAAGAGUGCCUCCCGUCUCUCCGUCCACGUCCUUUCCGGUUUAGGAUCUGCUGGCAGGAUCUCGCCACACCCAGCCUGUGCAUCAAGGUUUUUAAAGAGCAGAUGCAUCUUCUUCACAGUAAACGACUGGUUUGUGUGCUGA
rnacentral:lncRNA from 1 species